AUGUUUUUGCUGUUUAACAAUGAACACCAUGUAUGAUGUUUGUUUGAUUUUAGUUGUACUAGUAAUGGGUUGCUAUGGUCAUAAGGCGGAUUCUGGAUCGUACACACUAAAACUUGAAAACGCCAGUUUUGAAGAUCUUCAUAGUAUGUUCACAAAAAUCAAAGGAACAGGAGAAGGUUUGAGUCAACAUGACAAAGAUUUUUCAGCCUUUGCAGCUUCUUUAACUGCUGCAAAAACCUUGGGAGCUGGUUAAAUUGUAAAGUUUGAUAAAGUUUGGACGAAUGUCAAUAAUGAUUAUGAUCCAAUUACUGGCGUAUACACAGCUCCAAAACCAGGGGUGUACCAGUUCUCAUGCUCCGUUAUGACACAAAACAAGAAACGUCUUCGUGUUUACCUGUGGAAAAAUAACGAAAGGACAGUAUGUAUUUAUCCUGGUUAUACUGGUCAUAAUAUGGGAACUCUAAAUAUGGUGUUACAUCUUAAGAAAGGCGACAAAGUAUACAUUAAACAAGGUGGGUCGGAGACAUACAUUUACAGCGAUUCUGGAAGCAACUUCAGUAUGUUUUCUGGAUAUCUAAUUCGGUAAAUUGUAUACGAAUAAAGAUUUAAUAUAAAAAGUAACAAAAUAU